GGUGAACGCUGGCGGCGUGCUUAAGACAUGCAAGUCGAACGGCAGUCUUCGGACUGUAGUGGCGCACGGGUGAGUAACGCGUAACUGACCUACCCCACAGUCGCGGAUAACGAUUCGAAAGAAUCGCUAAUACGUGAUGUGCUGUCAGAUUGUGUUCUGCCAGUAAAGAUUGAUUGCUUUGGGAUGGGGUUGCGUUCCAUCAGCUAGUUGGUGGGGUAAAGGCCCACCAAGGCGACGACGGAUAGCCGGCCUGAGAGGGUGGCCGGCCACAGGGGCACUGAGACACAGGUCCCACUCCUACGGGAGGCAGCAGUUAGGAAUCUUCCACAAUGGGCGAAAGCCUGAUGGAGCGACGCCGCGUGAGGGAUGAAGGUCUUCGGAUCGUAAACCUCUGAAUCAGGGACGAAAGACACUUCGGUGGGAUGACGGUACCUGAGUAUAGCACCGGCUAACUCCGUGCCAGCCGCCGCCGUAACAC
rnacentral:rRNA from 1 species